GAUGAACGCUGGCGGCGUGCUUAACACAUGCAAGUCGAACGGUGAAGCAGGAGCUUGCUCUUGUGGAUCAGUGGCGAACGGGUGAGUAACACGUGAGCAACCUGCCCCUGACUCUGGGAUAAGCGCUGGAAACGGCAUCUAAUACUGGAUAUGUGAUGUGACCGCAUGGUCUGCAUCUGGAAAGAAUUUCGGUUGGGGAUGGGCUCGCGGCCUAUCAGCUUGUUGGUGAGGCAAUGGCUCACCAAGGCGUCGACGGGUAGCCGGCCUGAGAGGGUGACCGGCCACACUGGGACUGAGACACGGCCCAGACUCCUACGGGAGGCAGCAGUGGGGAAUAUUGCACAAUGGGCGGAAGCCUGAUGCAGCAACGCCGCGUGAGGGAUGACGGCCUUCGGGUUGUAAACCUCUUUUAGCAGGGAAGAAGCGAAAGUGACGGUACCUGCAGAAAAAGCACCGGCUAACUACGUGCCAGCAGCAGCCGCCG
rnacentral:rRNA from 1 species